ACAGAAUCUGGAAUCUCUCGGUCGGUCGUCUGCCGCAGUAAUAGAUCCUCUAACCUCUUCAUCCGUCCUCCUGUCGACGCGCAGCGUCCAUCUGCUGUCAUGCUGCCGCAACCUGCUGAGUAACCAAAUCCGUCAACAUCGCAAGCUGAUCCUGUAACUCCCUGACCUCACUGGACCCCGAAGUGACGGAAGUCUCUACUUCUUCCGCAGCGGCCGCCUCAGCCGCCCCGGCGGUCCCAAAACGAGUCGUA
rnacentral:lncRNA from 1 species